GCCCCCUGUCACUGGAGGUGUGCAAAUAUCAGUUAGGGAUAUUUAAGAGGAAACUCAUGACCUUGGGACUAGGGUUAUUCUACUGCAUGGCUUCUAAGCCUCCCAUCCCUCAACUGAAAUCUGAGAAUGUGAGUUCUCAGAUUUCGGCUUUAGGAUGGUUUUUUUUUUUUUUUUUUUUUUUGAGGUAGGCGGGCCUCUCACUGUUGUGGCCUCUCCCGUUGCGGAGCACAGGCUCCGGACGCGCAGGCUCAGCGGCCAUGGCUCACGGGCCCAGCCGCACCGCGGCAUCUGGGAUCUUCCCGGACCGGGGCACGAACCCGUGUCCCCUGCAUCGGCAGGUGGACUUUCAACCACUGUGCCACCAGGGAAGCCCUAGGAUAGUUUUAAAUGAGAUGUCAGAAGUUGGGAAAGCAAUGAAAGAAAUCCACCAAAGUGAGGACCAAGCUGUAAAAAAAAUCUUUAUUUCAUGUACCAGGAUUUUUUUCUUUUUUUUUUUCUUUUUUUAGUUUUCAGCUUUUUAAAAUUUUUUUUCUGUUAACAGUUUGAAAAAAAAAAAAGGACCCACCAACAAAAUAAAAUGGAGGUUGGUUUAUUGAACUGGUUUGAGCUGGACAUGAGCAAUCGUCCACCCUGGCAAGUGGCGCCUUUGCAGUCCUGAGCCCAGCUCCUUCCCUCCAGGCCCCCUAGCCCUUUUACCCCACACCUGGUUGGCCUUCUUCAAGGGGAUCCAGGCCCCAGGUCUCAUGGCCUGGGAAGAAGUGCUGACUGCCAUCCCAGACACUCUGCCAGAACUCAGAGAACUGGGACCAGUUUUCUUCUUUGGACCGUGCCUGUGCGUUUGCUGUUUUCUUUCUUUCUCCCUUCUCUCCAGUCCUUGAUCCUUUCAGGUUUGGGAUCUGAUGGGGCAGUGGGCAAGGUUGAAGUGGGGAGGGAGAGAUUGUGAUUUCUGUCCAGACUGAGAAAUACUGGGUGGCCACCACACCUGGCAUUGGCCGCCAUGGCUCUGUCCUGGGGCUCCCGGGGCCUCCCGUGCACUUCUGGGCUGGCAGACAGAUGUUCUGUCUUGUGGCUCAGGCUGGAUUUAGGGUCCCAGCUGCUACUGACCCGAGAAAAGAGCUUUCCUUUCCCAGACAAAAGAUGGAAAGGGCAGCGGAGAGUGGGCAAGCCCCCAAAACUUUUCCAGCCACUUCCCCCAACUCCCCAGAGCUCAACUUAAGAAGCUUCAGCACAGGCCAGUGUUAAGAAAGAGACCAACCAAGCCGUGCUGAUGGGGACAGCAGGGGCCCCACCUUCAGCAGAGUGACUGGCAGGCUGGGCUGAAAUUUGAGCUUGGGAAGGCGAUUGGCUUGCUUUCAUUCUGAAGUGGCCUUGUUGCUCUGGGAAGAAAGGGGAGCAACAUGGGAUGCCCCCAAACUUUAGUCCGCGGUCUUAGUUUAACUUUGGAGGUUGGUCCUCAUGCUGGGACCAACCUUUGUGAAUCUCUGCUCUCCAUCCCUCAGCCUUCACCCCUCCCAGCAAACCUUGGAGGACCCUCCUUUUCCCUGACCUCUAAAGACAGUGGGGGAAGCCUGGUGGCUGAUCUUCUCCCAAGGAAGUCCCCUCUGCUCUCUGUGACCGGGUUAGGGCAUUCAAGAAAGGGGACACAAAAUCAAGAGUGGCUUUGGGGACUUCUGGUACCUUUCCCUCUCUGAACGGCAGAAGACGUUUGCUCACGUUAGCACUUUCCUGGAGUAAGGAGAUCUUUUCUAUCAGCCCCCUGCAGCUCCGUGGGGCCUUUCUCCUCUCCCUCCUGCUUGAAGCCCAGCUCUCAUCUCUCACGGCAGCUUGUUUGUUUGUUUCUUAAAAUGGAUUUGUAUAUUUGUUUUCUGUUUUCUCUUUACAAGUUCCCUGCUAAAUUUUAAGUCCCCCACCCCACCCCAUUUUUUUGUUUGUUUUCACAGUUUAAAGCUGGAAAAGAAUUAAAAGAAAAAUACUAUCUGAUUUUCUUGCAAGUCCUCCCAGCCACUGGGCACCCAACCUCAGCCUUCU